UCGGGCGGAGUUCCGGUUUGCCUCAUACGCAAUCUGAAUGCUAACGGCAGCGCUUCGGUCGUCGUUGCUGACGUCUAUUUUAUUAUGUUUCAGGUAGUCAUCUGUGACUCUGUCUCCUCUGUGAUCUUCUGGCAGGCUGGCACAGGCCAAAAAGUCUAACAGUUCAGCCGUUGCCAUGACAAUGCAGAGAUCUCCACCAUGAGUUUGGACAGUACACAAACCCAGUUGUUUACUGCAGGCACUGAUAGACAGGUCAAAGAUGUUAACAGAUUUUCAUCUGCCCUGCUAAUGUUGAGCCCUAUGAGGGGACGUCUGGUGUUCAUAAAGGUGAUGUCCUUCAGUCUGCACUCGUUUUUGUCACAGUCUGCAGAAGAACCAGUGGACUUUGGAAAGAAUUCAUGUGGGACAGAAAACCGAGGGGAACAUUAAAGAGAGAGAAGAUUAGAGAAGAUGUGACACAAGAGACCAACGCAAGAACUGUCCACAAUCCUGCAGCAGAGGAAGGGGAAGUGGAAAUAUAACCUUAGGAUGAGGACAAGGUGCAGGAAAAAGAGCUGCAUCGGUUCAGAAAACUGUGUCUACAUAAAUUAAUUGUUGUACAGUAACCGUGAUUGUGUUGUACAUUACCUUUUAUUUUAAUGCCUGUUUUUAUAUCCUAAAAACACUACUUUUUAAUUAGGCAGCACUGUAGGUAGAUGGCUUGCAGCAACUUUUUGAAAGGGCUCAACAGAAACAUUUACACUUACAGUGUUUAUAGAAGUAUUAACUUUUACAGCACCUUUUGUUGUGUUUAUGCAUCAUUUUAUUGUCUACAGUCAGUGAGGAAUUAAAAUGUUGGGGUCAGUGCAAGAGCAGUUUGGAGCUCUGAUCUGUCAGUCUCUAGAGAGCAAAGAGGGUAAAAAUAAUAGCUGUUAAAAUGUUAAUAUUUGCAUGAAUUGAACCGACUUUUCUGUCAAGGACACAGAACAAAAAAGGGCUAAUUUUAUUUCUGCAACUUAAAAGCUUGAUGUGCACUGUAGCCGCAAUUGUUCUCAAGUGUCCUUUAAGAUUCAGAACGGUUCAUAAGUUUUAACCGCCACUACUUUCCCUUGUUUGUUCCCUUAAAGUUAGCUUGCCAUAUUACAACCACAAACUUCAUUGUAUUUUAUUGAGAAUUUAGCAGUCAGACCAACACAAAGCUGUGCAUUGCUUUAAAGUGGAAAAC